GACGAACGCUGGCGGCGUGCUUAACACAUGCAAGUCGAGCGAUGAAGCACCUUCGGGUGUGAAUUAGCGGCGAACGGGUGAGGAACACGUGAAGAAUCUGCCUUCAACUCUGGGAUAACUCCGGGAAACCGGGGCUAAUACCGGAUAUGAGCCUUGAUCGCAUGAUCGGGGCUGGAAAGUUUUUCGGUUGAAGAUGACUUCGCGGCCUAUCAGCUUGUUGGUGAGGUAAUGGCUCACCAAGGCGACGACGGGUAGCCGGCCUGAGAGGGCGACCGGCCACACUGGGACUGAGACACGGCCCAGACUCCGACGGGAGGCAGCAGUGGGGAAUAUUGGACAAUGGAGGAAACUCUGACCCAGCGACGCCGCGUGGGGGAUGAAGGCCUUCGGGUUGUAAACCUCUUUCAGUAGGGAAGAAGCGAAAGUGACGGUACCUACAGAAGAAGCACCGGCUAACUAUGUGCCAGCCGCCGCCGUAA
rnacentral:rRNA from 1 species